CCUACGGGAGGCUGCAGUGAGGAAGAUUGGUCAAUGGGCGGAAGCCUGAACCAGCCAAGUAGCGUGCGGGAUGAAGGCCCUACGGGUCGUAAACCGCUUUUGCACGGGGAGAACACCCUCCACUUGUGGAGGUCUGCAGGUACCGUGCGAAUAAGGGCCGGCUAAUUCCGUGCCAGCAGCCGCGGUAAUACGGAAGGACCGAGCGGUAUCCGGAUUGCUUGGGCUGAAAGGGAGCGUAGGCGGGCGUUCAAGUCAGCUGUAAAAUCGCGCGGCUCAAACGCGCCCCGCAGUUGAAACUGGACGCCUUGAGUUCACAACAGGCAGGCGGCAUUCGUGGUGUAGCGGUGAAAUGCAUAGAU
rnacentral:rRNA from 1 species